UAGCCGCUGGGCCAUGGUGACCGACGGCGAUGAUGACGGUGGUGGCUACCUCGACGAUGGAUAAAAUCCGCUCCGCCCCUCCUCUUAUCCGUCGACGACCGCUUGAAUCCCGAGAGGAGAGGAGAGGAGUGGGAGAUCCAUGGCGGCGGAAAGAUCCGCGCCUGGAUCGGACCUGCUCGUCAAGGAGACCCACGCCAUGGAGCUGCUCGUCAAUGUUCCACCCUGGCACACAUCCAACAUCGCCAUGGACCAGUAGCUCAAGCCGUCUUCUUCCAGAUGGUGAUGGGGUUCCCUCACCAUCUGCAGGUCAUCAUCCUUAAGGGCUCCACCAUCUGCAGGGUCUAACCACCUUGAUUUGAUUCGGGCUGGAGCAGCAGCAGCAGGUCCUUCCUUCCAUGGAGGGCAUCC